ACUCUCAGGUGCCGUGUCUAUUAUCAUACUCUAUACUGUUAUUCUUUCAUCUUUUCUUCGUAUCAAUACUUUUCUUCUGUCAACUGCGGAGGUCUAGAACUAUAGAAAUAGGGCUUUUUUUGAACUUUUUCUUUUUUGGUUUUGUAUUUUUGUAAAUCAGGGUGGGUCUUUCAAGCAUAGUUGCAUAAUGAUUUAUAGGGGUGCGUUUGUUUGCUUUACAGGUUCUGUUUUUUGCUUUUCUCUACUUUUUAUUCAUGUGUUCUCUUUUAGGGUUAGGGUUUUCUCUCCCUUUUUUAUGCUUGCUUGCAUGGGAUAAUCUCAAGGCCACGGUCAGUGUUUGCGGAUGCAGCAUCAUGAAGAUUCACAAUCUCCAAAAGCUUUUUUUGAGUGGGGGUGGUAUAUGAGGUCCCCUUUACUCGAAAGGCUCCUUUCAUAUGGGAAUCUUGAUGAUGCUGCAUCAGCAGAUAUAUGGCUACUCUUUCCUUUCGAUUUCCAAAGAAACUGAUGUUCAGUUUGAUGUUGAGGAGAGGGUACGUUAAGGAUGCACAGCGAAAACCAUGAAGGAAAAGGAGAUUUGGGAUGAGCAGAAUGUUGAUGGUGAAAGCCCUCUCUAUGGAAAUUAAAUCAAAAGUGGCAAUGCAAGAAGAAAUUAAGGAAAUGGAACUGAUAAGAAAGAGCAACCACUUCAACCAUAGUUGUUAUGUUUUGAGUUUUGAAUGAAACCUCUUUCCAUUUCCAUUUGAUUUUUGUAUCAAAAUAGAGAAAUUAAGUACAAUAUUCAUGCCUCCAUGGAUGAAGAAAACCCACCAUUAAUUUGUAGUAACAGUCUUGCAGGCAUGGUGUUUUUUUUUUUUUUUUGGCCUUUUUCCUGGUACCCUAUUCUAAAAUAUCCCAGACUACAAAAGUUUUCAUUGUGACAUACGGUUUACAGUCAGCUGUCUCAGAAAGAGUGUAUUUUUCUUCCAAGAACUAGGUUUUCCUAGGUUCAGGAGGAGGAAGAUGUGAUAGUUGCAAGACUUCUUCAUGUAAACCAUCUUUGUUUUCUGUCAAACUCCUUUUGCCUAUAGUUACUGACAAAUGCUGAAUAAACUAGCUUUUCUGGUGAUUGACAAAGAGAAUCCAGGAAGAGAAUGUUCCAACUAAAUCAGGUUGGUAUGAAAUUUCAUUGUUUUUAUUU